CUACGGGGGGCUGCAGUGGGGAAUCUUAGACAAUGGGCGCAAGCCUGAUCUAGCCAUGCCGCGUGAGCGAUGAAGGCCUUAGGGUUGUAAAGCUCUUUCAGCGAGGAAGAUAAUGACUGUACUCGCAGAAGAAGCCCCGGCUAACUCCGUGCCAGCAGCCGCGGUAAUACGGAGGGGGCUAGCGUUGUUCGGAAUUACUGGGCGUAAAGCGCACGUAGGCGGAUCAGAAAGUCAGAGGUGAAAUCCCAGGGCUCAACCUUGGAACUGCCUUUGAAACUCCUGAUCUUGAGUUCGAGAGAGGUGAGUGGAAUUCCGAGUGUAGAGGUGAAAUUCGUAGAUAUUCGGAGGAACACCAGUGGCGAAGGCGGCUCACUGGCUCGAUACUGACGCUGAGGUGCGAAAGCGUGGGGAGCAAACAGGAUUAGAUACCCCUGUAGUC
rnacentral:rRNA from 1 species